UGAGAAGAAGCUCAGGUGUUUCUUGC
rnacentral:piRNA from 1 species